GAUGAACGCGGGCGGCGUGCCUAAUACAUGCAAGUAGAACGCUGAAGGAAGGAGCUUGCUCUUUCCGGAUGAGUUGCGAACGGGUGAGUAACGCGUAGGUAACCUGCCUGGUAGCGGGGGAUAACUAUUGGAAACGAUAGCUAAUACCGCAUAACAGUAGAUAUUGCAUGAUAUCUGCUUGAAAGGGGCAAUUGCUCCACUACCAGAUGGACCUGCGUUGUAUUAGCUAGUUGGUGAGGUAACGGCUCACCAAGGCGACGAUACAUAGCCGACCUGAGAGGGUGAUCGGCCACACUGAGACUGAGACACGGCCCAGACUCCUACGGGAGGCAGCAGUAGGGAAUCUUCGGCAAUGGACGGAAGUCCGACCGAGCAACGCCGCGUGAGUGAAGAAGGUUUUCGGAUCGUAAAGCUCUGUUGUAAGAGAAGAACGAGUGUGAGAGUGGGAAGUUCACAC
rnacentral:rRNA from 1 species